rnacentral:rRNA from 1 species
AAACACGGACCAAGGAGUCUAACAAGUGCGCGAGUCAAAGGGCUCUAACUAAACCCAAUGGCGAAGCGAAAGCGAAGCGCCGCGGAUUUUUAUCCCGGCCGAGGGAGGAUGGAUGAAGCGGGGGGGGCCGAGCUCGUCAAGAGCGGAGCCCUUUAGUUUCACCCCGUCCCGCACUCCCGGGGCGUCGUUCUCGGCGCACCCAGAGCGCACUCGUUGGUACCCGAAAGAUGGUGAACUAUGCCUGGCCAGGACGAAGCCAGGGGAAACCCUGGUGGAGGUCCGUAGCGAUUCUGACGUGCAAAUCGAUCGUCUGAGCUGG